AAGCUCGUAGUUGAAUUUCGGGGUUCUACCGUUGGUCGGGCUUUGUCUGUACUGGCGUGUAGAAUUUCUACCUUCUGGGGAACCAUUAUGUUAUUAAUUUAGCGUAGUGGGAAACCAGGACCUUUACCUUGAAAAAAUUAGAGUGUUCAAAGCAGGCUUAUGUCUGAAUACAUUAGCAUGGAAUAAUAGAAUAGGACGGUGGUCCUGUUUUGUUGGUUUCUGAAUCACCGUAAUGAUUAAUAGGGAUAGUUGGG
rnacentral:rRNA from 1 species